AUACUCCUUUUGGCAGCACAUACACUAAAAUUGGAAUAAUAUAGAGAAAAUUACCAUGUCUCCUAUUCAAGGACAAUACAAAAAUGCACAAACUGUUCCAUAUUUUU